rnacentral:lncRNA from 1 species
GGCCAGAUGAAUGUUCUGCCACCAAGAGGAAGACUUUGACAUUUAAAAAAUUCUCCAUCUCUCUCCAAGUGUCCCAUCCCCAACUCAGAAAUAAUAAUAAUGGUAAUAAUAAUAACUUUAUUAUUGUCAUUGAGAGCUCAUUGCGUGACAGGCGCUACGCUAAGCACUUUACAUACGUUAUGUAUCAAAUCCUCAGAAAAAUCCAUGAAGAGGACAUUAAUAUGUUGCAGAUGAAGACACUGAGGCUUGGAGAACUUAAAUUGCCCAAAGAGCUUCUCACACCUGUUGCCAUGGACUCCCAGGUUGAAGGUCACAUAACCUUAGCAUGCCCAGAUAAACCAAGUAUGCAACCACACGGGGAACCUAAGUGCUCAGACCAAGGAGCAGGAACUGAAUUAAGACACGGACACCACAUGGCAGAAUCCAAGAUCCAAUCAGAUCGAGCUCUGGAAUCACCCCAUGGUGGAAGCCAGUCAGAUCAUUCCUCUUGGCAUCACCUCAUUGCAAGAUCCAAUCAGAUCACGUCUCAUUACCCUAUCCUUAUAAAACCGGACAGACCUCAGCUCAGGAAGGCACUGCUUUGGGAGCUAUCACCCCUAUUUUCCUUAAUUACUUCAAGUAAUAAAAU